rnacentral:rRNA from 1 species
GAUGAACGCUGGCGGCGUGCUUAACACAUGCAAGUCGAACGAAGCAUUUAGGACAGAUUACUUCGGUUUGAAGUUCUUUAUGACUGAGUGGCGGACGGGUGAGUAACGCGUGGGUAACCUGCCUUGUACUGGGGGAUAGCAGCUGGAAACGGCUGGUAAUACCGCAUAAGCGCACAAUGUUGCAUGACAUGGUGUGAAAAACUCCGGUGGUAUAAGAUGGACCCGCGUCUGAUUAGCUAGUUGGUGAGAUAACAGCCCACCAAGGCGACGAUCAGUAGCCGACCUGAGAGGGUGACCGGCCACAUUGGGACUGAGACACGGCCCAGACUCCUACGGGAGUCAGCAGUGGGGAAUAUUGCACAAUGGAGGAAACUCUGAUGCAGCGACGCCGCGUGAGUGAAGAAGUAAUUCGUUAUGUAAAGCUCUAUCAGCAGGGAAGAUAGUGACGGUACCUGACUAAGAAGCGCCGGCUAAAUACGUG